GGAGGGAUCAUUACUGAAUGAUCAUCCUUGAUCUUCAUACCCCUCAAACCCACUGUGGAAUCAAUUCGUGCUUCGGCGUCCAUGGGGCGCCGUCUUUAUGCAUCGACCAUGUCUUGUCUGUCUAAGAACAUUGAAAUGUCAAAAACUUUCAACAAAGGAUCUCUUGGCUCUCGCAUCGAUGAAGAACGUAGUGAAGCGCGAAAUGUAAUGUGAAUCGCAGAACCUUGUGAAUCAUCGAAUCUUUGAACGCACAUUGCGCCUCCCCUCACCGGGAGGCAUGCCUGUCUGAGCGUCAUUUAAAUCUAAUAAACCCACCUUUGUAUGGGUUUGUAUUGGGCCCUGCGCCUCAUGCGCGUCGCCUGAAAGCCAUUGGCCUUGACCCUCGCGGAUGGGCUCCAUUCGGACGUACCGUGAGGGUGGUCGUAUUCCUAGAGGCCUGCGCCUCUCUUGAUUUGACCUCAGAUCAGGUAGGAACACCGCCUGAACUUAAGCAUAUCAAUAAGGCGAGGAACAGAAACCAACAGGGAUUCCCCUAGUAGUGGCGAAUGAAGCGGGAAAAGCUCAAGUUUGAAAUCCGGCGGGUGACCGCCAGAGUUGUAAGCUGAAGAGGACUGGACCGGCGUGGCUCGGGCCCAAUUCCCUUGGGAUAGGGAGUCAGGGAGGGUGAGAACCCCGUCCGUGGCUUGCAGGCCAUCGCCCUUGUGUCUUAUCCUCGAAGAGUCGGGUUGUUUGGGAAUGCAGCUCAAAAUGGGUGGUAAAUUUCAUCUAAAGCUAAAUAUUGGCGAGAGACCGAUAGCAAACAAGUAGAGUAAUCGAAAGAUGAAAAGUACUUUGAAAAGAGAGUGAAACAGUGCGUGAAAUUGUUGAAAGGGAACCGUUUGGUAUCAGCCCUUGACCGUCGACGAUCAUCUGGGCUUCUGUCUGGUGCACUCGUCGGCGGUUGGGCCAGCGUCGACUCUGUCCGCCGGAGAAAGGUCCUGGGAAUGUGGCUCCUCUUGGAGUGUUAUAGCCCAGGACGGCAUGCGGUGUGGUGGGGUCGAGGUCCGCGGUCUUCCUAGGACGCUGGCGUAAUGGUCCCAAGCGACCCGUCUUGAAACACGGACCAAGGAGUCUAACAUCUAUGCGAGUGUUUGGGUGUCAAGCCCGUCCGCGCAAUGAAAGUGAAUGCAGGCGGGAGCCUUUAGAGGGUGCACCGCCGACCGGUCCGGGGGUUUACCGAAGGAUCUGAGUAAGAGCAUAGCUGUUGGGACCCGAAAGAUGGUGAACUAUGCCUGAAUAGGGUGAAGCCAGAGGAAACUCUGGUGGAGGCUCGCAGCGGUUCUGACGUGCAAAUCGAUCGUCAAAUUUGGGUAUAGGGGCGAAAGACUAAUCGAACCAUCUAGUAGCUGGUUCCUGC
rnacentral:misc_RNA from 1 species